rnacentral:rRNA from 1 species
UGGGGAAUUUUGGACAAUGGGGGAAACCCUGAUCCAGCCAUCCCGCGUGUGCGAUGAAGGCCUUCGGGUUGUAAAGCACUUUUGGCAGGAAAGAAACGUCAUGGGUUAAUACCCCGUGAAACUGACGGUACCUGCAGAAUAAGCACCGGCUAACUACGUGCCAGCAGCCGCGGUAAUACGUAGGGUGCAAGCGUUAAGCGGAAUUACUGGGCGUAAAGCGUGCGCAGGCGGUUCGGAAAGAAAGAUGUGAAAUCCCAGAGCUCAACUUUGGAACUGCAUUUUUAACUACCGGGCUAGAGUGUGUCAGGGGGAGGUGGAAUUCCGCGUGUAGCAGUGAAAUGCGUAGAUAUGCGGAGGAACACCGAUGGCGAAGGCAGACUCCUGGGAUAACACUGACGCUCAUGCACGAAAGCGUGGGGAGCAAACAGG